AAAACACUGGGGUACCGCUCAUGGCAGCAUUGUUCCUUACCAGGCUUUUAAAACCAAGGAUGGAUAUCUUAUAGUUGGAGCAGGAAAUAACCAACAGUUUGCUACUGUGUGCAAGAUCUUGAAUUUGCCUGAGCUGAUUGAUGAUUCCAUGUAUAGAACUAACCACCUUCGGGUACAGAACAGAAAUGAGCUUAUUAAAAUACUGUCUACACGGUAAG